UCUCUCUCUCUCUCUCUCUCUCUCUCUCUCUCUCUCUCUCUCUCUCUCUCUCGUCUUUCUCUAUCUCUCAUUCUCUCCGUUUCCAGCCAGUCCUCCUCUGACCCAUCUACGCCUCUCCCUUCUUCGAAAUCUUCCAUUGACGCAAUACCCACCAUUAGAAUCGACCUGUACCUUCUGAACGAUGACCCUUUUAUGCUCUGCGCCAUUUGCAAGGACCAGUUCGAGCUUGGUAUUGAGGCCAACCAACUUCCUUGUAAGCAUCUCUACCAUCCCUAGGAGGCACGAUCUUCUAUUUUUCGCUGGGAAUGGUGGUAGCUGUGGCGUUCAGGGCUCACUCUCUCCCAACUAGAUUGCGGAGGUGGGGACAGAGAUGGAGAUGGGAGCGGUCUCCAGUUGUCCAGUUGCGGGUAGAGCUCGUAUAAAUGGUGAAGAUGAAGGGUUGAGUUUAAGUCCCAGGGUCAUUGAGGAGGGCGAUGUUGCCAUUUCUGAAAAUUUGAGGUCUGUACUAUUUCUUUAGCUACUUGAAAUUGGGUUUUGGAAUCUUGAUUGGUGUCUCAGUUAGGAUUAUUGAAGGAAAGGGUAAAUUAGAUCUUGGAAAAGUCUUCAAGAAGGACUUUUAUAAGACUCAAUAAAUGGAAGUUUACUUCGUUUUGUAGGAAUUUAGGGUCAAUAUCUUUUUCUUCCAUAUUCAAAAUCUCUCAUCUAGCACCAGUUCUUUACUCACACUAUGUUUGUCUUGUUUUACGAGUACUUUGAAAAAUUGAAAGUUCUUAAAUGGAAAAAAAAGGAAGCACUCUCAGAUUCUUCCCUCUGAAAAUCUUACAGACUUCAAAGGCAUGGCGUAAUCGUGUCUGGUUCUUUCGACCAUCCCCAUGUCCCUCUUUCAUUGUCAACAGGGGGAAAUCAUAUUUGAGCUGUAUGAAACUUUUCAAUUUGGUUAUGAUGAACAAGGUAUCGAUCUAGCUGCAGAAGGUUCAUAUGGGGCGCAAUUGAAACAGAGAGAGGAAAUCUAUGUCAUGACUCAUGAUUGUCCAAUACAUAAUUUGGGGCAAAGUGAAAUAUAUACAAAUAUAUAAUGAUGAAGACAACCCUUGAUGUGGUAGCAGGUUCAAUCAGGGCUUACCAGACUCCAAUUUCCAAAGCUAAGCAAGGAGGGUAUAAGGAUACUCUAGCUGAUGAUUUACUUGCAGUUGUUUUAAAGGCCACGAUCGAGAAAACAAAUCUGGACCCAAGUGAAGUUGGGGAUAUAGUUGUUGGUACUGUUUUGCCACCUGGUUCACAAAGAGCAACAGAGUGCAGAAUGGCAGCAAUCUAUGUUGGUUUUCCUGGAAAAGAAAAUCUUUAUUUCACCAUUGAAGAUCUGCCCCUACUUGCUUCUCUUCUGGUCAUCUUGAGUGUCUCUAGUCAUCUCUAAAGUUCUUGGUCAACUAUGUCUCAUAGUCUACUCUAUUGGAAGGGUUCUUAAAAGCUUGAGAAAUUGGUCUACCUGUGUUGUCUUCUUAUGUAACUGAAGUUGUUUCAUGAGUUUCAAAAGCUUAAUUCAUGAAUUGGAUUGCUUACUUCUUCAUGCAGAAAAUGGGAUCAAUGGCAGAUGAAUUGGAUCCAUGUUGAACAAUUGGAUCCAUGUUGAACAAUCAUUGGUGAACACAGGAAAGGAAAGGGCAAAAUUCAGCCUUCUUUUUACAUGGGCGGAAGGCAAUGUUGCCAACCAGAGGGAACAUCUAAUUCUUCUCCUUGCCAAUAUUCACACUCAGAAAGCUAAUAAGCAGUCUGUCUUGAAGAGUUAUACACAGUAUAUCCCUUUGCCAAUCAGUGACCUUGAUUCUUGGUUGAAGACACCCUCCAUAUAUAUUUUUGAUUUCUCUGCGGCUGUGGGAAUAUUGUGAAUGCUUUUAUUGAGCUUCAUGAUUGGGUUGCUUUUAGCUCCUCUGGAUCCACAAGGGAUUGCAUUCUACUUGGAGCUUGUGAAGCACAUGAGACUCUUCCACAAAGUGCUGAAUUUCUUGCAGAUGUGUUUACGUCUUGUCUCACAACACCUAUUAAGAUGGCUUUGAGAUGAAACUGGUGCAACAAAAAGUUCAUCUUUAUGUGACCUUCCUAAACAGAUGGAAGGUGAUCAACAGAGAGCCUCUAAACAGACUAAGAACAUCUUAAGUAACUUAGUUGUUGCUGUUGACAAUUUGUGGUAUCUAAAAGAUGGAAUACAUACUGUAUUCUUGAAAAAAAAUUCAGAAAAUGGAUCUUACAGGCAAAGGACACCAUGUGAAUUAGAUAGAGAGGUUAAGAACUUGAGGGUGGCAUUUACUGACCUUUUUUUGAAGCAUAACACUUUCGAAGAAACUACAAAGCCAUCGAGAUAUUGAUGCAAAGAAUGGAAGAAUGUAUUUCACUAAUUUUUGUAUACAUUUCUUGUUUUGUAUUUAGUGAUAAAGGAAUCUGAAUUGGGCAUAAAUUAUGUUGUAAUAUGAUUUCUUAAGCCUAGACUAGUAGACUAAAUAUUGUAAUUACAUUUGAGUAAUUAAUAAAAAUCUAUUUAUGUUA